UGUUAUUGUUUUAUAUUGUGCUCAACGCUCAUCGCGACAGCCAUGAUGCGUACAUUUACGUAUGUACGAUGCGUGAGUGCGUAUACACACGUGUGGAUCGAGCAGUGCGGAGUGCUCUUUAUUUACAGUAUAUUUAUAUAUAACUGUUUGAGUGCGUCGAGAUCAUGAGCAAACGCACGCUUGUUGCGACAGCCAAUCAGAAGCAGUAAUAGUUCUGGAGACUGUAGUCGCAUUAUCUUACAUAUACGUAUGAUGUGUGAGUGUGUCAUAUAUACGUACGUUUGUGCUUGUGCGCUUGUGCGCUGUCGAGCGCUUUUAAUUGUAUACAACAUUUUUAUAUGGGUAGCUGGUGAUUCAAGAUCUAUUUUUCGACCUAUAUAAGAGAGAAAUUUGCAGAAGAAAAAAAAUAUACUAAAGUAUUAAUAAGGAUCGAACAUAUUCUUGAUGUACUCGGGCCGCGAGGCUGAGCAAUAUUCUAAGGAAAGUAUUGUACAAGAUACAAAGAUUGGACAAUA